ACCAAUGGUCUCUCUCUGGGCGGGGCUGCUGUUGGACGGCCUGGGCCAAUCCGAGGCGCCGGAGGCCAAUCAGUUGGCGGAGCGGCGCGUGCGCGGGCGAGGAACUGCCCGGGCGCGGUAGCGUACGGGAAGACCGGAGAGGAGCUGCGUCUCUGCCCCGUGGGAGCCGGCGGGGCGGCGGGGCGGCGGCUGCAGCUGCAGCUCCGGCGCGAGGGCUCCCUUGCCGGGCCCUCUUCCCCGACCCCUGGGGCGCUCCGACAAGGAAGAGCCGUCCAGCGCGCGUCCGUCCUGAGCGUGGGGUCCCAGGCCAGCAUCACUAUCCAGGAGCUUCAGGCAUGCUCCGUGUACCAACAUGGGAUCACGAAUCACAUCGCCUCAGGCCAAGAAAGCCAUUUUAUAGCGAAAGAGCCUUAGGAUCUGCUGGAUUAGAGCCUGUUUCCCAGGUAGGAACGCUUCCACGAGGGCACUCCUGCUGGUUGCAGGAAGGAUACCUCUGCUGAGCCUGAAUCUGCAAAGACCACCAGGUUACUCUCAGCUCCUCAUACUGGUGGACCAGCAGGCCACAAAGGAGGGGAUACUUGAUCCUGAUAAACGGUUAUGCUUGUUUGCUGAUGGAAAUGAUCCAGAAGAGAAGGACAAGUUGACGAUUGAGAGGGUUAAUGUCAGGUAAGAAACUUGAGUGGAC
rnacentral:lncRNA from 10 species